rnacentral:rRNA from 1 species
UGGGGAAUAUUGGACAAUGGGGGAAACCCUGAUCCAGCAAUGCCGCGUGAGUGAAGAAGGCCUUAGGGUUGUAAAGCUCUUUCGCCCGCGAAGAUAAUGACGGUAGCGGGAGAAGCAGCCCCGGCUAACUCCGUGCCAGCAGCCGCGGUAAUACGGAGGGGGCUAGAGUUGUUCGGAAUUACUGGGCGUAAAGCGUACGUAGGCGGAUGCGCAAGUUGGGGGUGAAAUCCCGGGGCUUAACCUCGAAGUUGCCCUCAAAACUGCACGUCUUGAGACCGAGAGAGGUAAGGGGAAUUCCUAGUGUAGAGGUGAAAUUCGUAGAUAUUAGGAAGAACACCAGUGGCGAAGGCGCCUUACUGGCUUGGUACUGACGCUGAGGUACGAAAGCGUGGGGAGCAAACA